AUCUACCUUCGAAUAUUGGCAGCAUGAAUUCUUUACGACAACUACUUGCUGAUAGUACUGCCAUAGACAAAUUGCCUGAAACUAUAUUCCAGUUAACUUAUCUCGAAAAGCUUUCCCUCGACCAUUGCAAAUCGUUAAAACGACUACCCAAAAGCAUAGGAAAGCUUAGUUCCUUAAGGGAACUCUCUCUUCUUGAUUCUGCACUGGAUGAACUACCCGAUACCAUUGGUUUUCUGGGAAAUCUAGAGACUCUAAAUUUGAUGUGGUGUAAAUCAUUAAUUGUGGUUCCAGAUUCUAUUGGAAAUCUCAAAUCACUGGCUAAACUCUUCCUAAGUGGUAGUUCCAUAGAAGCUAUACCAGCAUCUGUUGGUUCGCUAUUCUAUCUGAAAGAUUUAUCGGUCAGAGACUGUAAAUGUUUGCGCUCGUUGCCUGUUACAAUUGAAGGGUUAUCUUCAAUGAUUGAGUUUCAGUUGGACAGGAUUUUAAUAACUAGUUUACCUCAAGAAAUUGGUUCCUUGAAAUCACUUAAGAAGCUUGAAGUCAGAGAUUGCAAGAAUCUUAUUGCACUUCCAGAAUCAAUCGGAAAUAUGUCGGCCCUUAAUACGUUGAUCUUAGACAAUGCUGUCAUAGUAGAGUUACCGGAAUCUAUAGGAAUGUUGGAAAAUCUCACCAUGUUAAGAUUGAAUAAUUGCAAGAAACUAAGAAAAUUACCGGUCUCAUUUGGAAAAUUGAAGAACUUGAAUCACCUGUUUAUGGUGGAAACUGCCAUUACUGAAUUACCAGAAACAUUUGGAAUGCUUUCUAAUUUACGGACGUUGGGAAUGACACAGAGUCUCCAGGUUCCUCAAAUUUCUGGAACGUCAGAGCCUGCUACUAGUCUAGAGAUGAAGGUGCUUCCAUCUUCUUUCUCAGAUCUUUCCUUGUUAGUUGAAUUCAAUGCUUGUGCAUGGAAGAUAACUGGGAAGAUACCUGAUGAUUUUGAGAAGUUAUUAUCUUUAGAGGAUUUGAAUUUGAGUCGCAAUGAUUUUCAUAGUCUUCCAUCCAAUAUGAGAGGACUCUCUGUUCUCAAAAAGCUAGAAUUAUCCCAGUGCAAAUUGCUUAAAGUUCUUCCUCCACUUCCUGAGAGUUUGCAGGAGCUAAAUGCUGCAAAUUGCACGUCUCUGGAAAGCAUUUCCGAUCUCUCAAAUUUGCAGAAUUUGAUGCAGAUAGAUUUCGCAAAUUGUGAGAAACUAGUGGAUGUUCCAGGCGUCGAACAAUUAAAGUCCAUGAAAAGGUUGUACAUGGGAGGUUGUAGUUCUUGUGCCUCAGCAGUGAUACGAAAACUUGACAAG
rnacentral:lncRNA from 1 species